rnacentral:rRNA from 1 species
GACGAACGCUGGCGGCGUGCCUAAUACAUGCAAGUCGAACGCUUCUUUCCUCCCGAGUGCUUGCACUCAAUUGGAAGGAGGAGUGGCGGACGGGUGAGUAACACGUGGGUAACCUACCCAUCAGAGGGGGAUAACACUUGGAAACAGGUGCUAAUACCGCAUAACAGUUUAUGCCGCAUGGCAUAAGAGUGAAGGGCGCUUUCGGGUGUCGCUGAUGGAUGGACCCGCGGUGCAUUAGCUAGUUGGUGAGGUAACGGCUCACCAAGGCCACGAUGCAUAGCCGACCUGAGAGGGUGAUCGGCCACACUGGGACUGCGACACGGCCCAGACUCCUACGGGAGGCAGCAGUAGGGAAUCUUCGGCAAUGGACGAAAGUCUGACCGAGCAACGCCGCGUGAGUGAAGAAGGUUUUCGGAUCGUAAAACUCUGUUGUUAGAGAAGAACAAGGACGUUAGUAACUGAACGUCCCCUGACGGUAUCUAACCAGAAAGCCACGGCUAACUACGUG